GUUCCGUAGGUGAACCUGCGGAAGGAUCAUUACAGAGUUCAUGCCCUCACGGGUAGAUCUCCCACCCUUGAAUAUUUAUACCUUAGUUGCUUUGGCAGGCCGUGGAAACACCAUGGGCUCCGGCUUAUGCGUGCCUGCCAGAGGAAACAAACUCUGUUUUUAGCGAUGUCUGAGUACUAUAUAAUAGUUAAAACUUUCAACAACGGAUCUCUUGGUUCUG
rnacentral:misc_RNA from 1 species